UACGGGGGGAGCAAGCGUUGUUCGGAUUUACUGGGCGUAAAGGGCGCGUAGGCGGCGUAGCAAGUCAUUUGUGAAAUCUCCGGGCUUAACCCGGAGCGGCCAAGUGAUACUGUUGUGCUAGAGUGCGGAAGGGGCUACUGGAAUUCUCGGUGUAGCGGUGAAAUGCGUAGAUAUCGAGAGGAACACCUGCGGCGAAGGCGGGUAGCUGGGCCGACACUGACGCUGAGGCGCGAAAGCCAGGGGAGCGAACGGG
rnacentral:rRNA from 1 species